rnacentral:rRNA from 1 species
CCUACGGGAGGCAGCAGUGAGGAAUAUUGGUCAAUGGUCGGGAGACUGAACCAGCCAAGCCGCGUGAGGGAUGAAGGUACAGAGUAUCGUAAACCUCUUUUGUCAGGGAACAAAGGCGGGGACGUGUCCCCGGAUGAGUGUACCUGAAGAAAAAGCAUCGGCUAACUCCGUGCCAGCCGCCGCGGUAAUACGGAGGAUGCGAGCGUUAUCCGGAUUUAUUGGGUUUAAAGGGUGCGAAGGCGGUCUGUUAAGUCAGCGGUCAAAGCCCGGGGCUCAACCCCGGCCGGCCGUUGAAACUGGCAGUCUCGAGUUGGAGAGAAGUAUGCGGAAUGCGCGGUGUAGCGGUGAAAUGCAUAGAUAUCGCGCAGAACUCCGAUUGCGAAGGCAGCAUGCCGGCUCCACACUGACGCUGAGGCACGAAAGCGUGGGUAUCGAACAGGAUUAGAUACCCGUGUAGUC